GAUGAACGCUGGCGGCGUGCCUAACACAUGUAAGUCGAACGGGAUCCUUGGAUUCGUCUGAGGUGAGAGUGGCGAACGGGUGAGUAACACGUAGGUGACCUGCCCCAGAGAGGGGGAUAACUAUCGGAAACGAUAGCUAAUACCCCAUACGGUCCUCAGAGUUGGAUAUCUGAGGAAGAAAGCUCCGGCGCUCUGGGAGGGGCCUGCGGCCCAUCAGCUAGUUGGUAGGGUAAAGGCCUACCAAGGCAGAGACGGGUAGGGGACGUGAGAGCGUGACCCCCCACACUGGCACUGACACACGGGCCAGACUCCUACGGGAGGCAGCAGUGAGGAAUCUUGCACAAUGGGCGAAAGCCUGAUGCAGCAACGCCGCGUGGAUGAUGAAGGCCUUCGGGUUGUAAAAUCCUUUUCUGGAGGAAGAGAAAGGACGGUACUCCAGGAAUAAGCGUCGGCUAACUACGUGCCAGCAGCCGCGGUAAAACGUAGGACGCAAGCGUUAUCCGGAUUUAUUGGGCGUAAAGCGCGUGUAGGCGGUGCGGUAAGUCGGACGUGAAAGCUCCCGGCUCAACUGGGAGAGGUCGUUCGAUACUGCCGCACUUGAGGACGGUAGAGGAGAGUGGAAUUCCGGGUGUAGUGGUGAAAUGCGUAGAUAUCCGGAGGAACACCAGUGGCGAAGGCGGCUCUCUGGGCCGGUCCUGACGCUAAGACGCGAAAGCUAGGGUAGCAAACGGGAUUAGAAACCCCGGUAGUCCUAGCCGUAAACGAUGGAGACUAGGUGUAGGGAGAUUAACCUCUCUGUGCCGUAGCUAACGCGUUAAGUCUCCCGCCUGGGGAUUACGACCGCAAGGUUA
rnacentral:rRNA from 1 species